AUUGAACGCAGGCGGCAGGCUUAACACAUGCAAGUCGAGCGGAGAUGAGGUGCUUGCACCUUAUCUUAGCGGCGGACGGGUGAGUAAUGCUUAGGAAUCUGCCUAUUAGUGGGGGACAACAUUCCGAAAGGAAUGCUAAUACCGCAUACGUCCUACGGGAGAAAGCAGGGGAUCUUCGGACCUUGCGCUAAUAGAUGAGCCUAAGUCGGAUUAGCUAGUUGGUGGGGUAAAGGCCUACCAAGGCGACGAUCUGUAGCGGGUCUGAGAGGAUGAUCCGCCACACUGGGACUGAGACACGGCCCAGACGCCUACGGGAGGCAGCAGUGGGGAAUAUUGGACAAUGGGGGAAACCCUGAUCCAGCCAUGCCGCGUGUGUGAAGAAGGCCUUAUGGUUGUAAAGCACUUUAAGCGAGGAGGAGGCUACUGAGACUAAUACUCUUGGAUAGUGGACGUUACUCGCAGAAUAAGCACCGGCUAACUCUGUGCCAGCCGCCGCGGUAA
rnacentral:rRNA from 1 species